CCCACCCACGCCCCCGCAACCCGGGGACAGCGGGAGGGUCUCCGCAGCUGUAGACGCCGUGUCGCUAGUCAGAAGAGUGCUUGGAAAUCUGUGGCUGGUGGUCCAGAGAGGGUAGGCUAUUGAAACAAAGUCACACAGCGCUGGCCGCGUUGGCGCGGGAACUUGGAACCUCAGGCUAUGGGAGAGGGCCGGCAGGAACCUGUGUUGACUCUCGCUGCAUCUUGGAGGAAGGAAACUGAGCCCCACAGAGGACGAGACCAUCCUGGGUCACAUCGCGGGGAGUCAGAAGACCCCUCCCGCUUUGGGCUCCUGUCUCUGUGAAUGGGUGCCCCCUCCUGGUGACCCGUUUCCUGCAGAACCCUCUCCCACGUGCCCUCUGGUCUCAAGCAGUACUAGGGUUAAAAACAGUCUCUGGAGUCAGGUAGCGGGGAUGGCGAUAGGCUGAGUACCUGUCCUGCCUCUCCUGAGGCUUUGUGACCACAGACUGCCUUUCUCUGAGCCCCAUUUUCUCCACCUGUAAAAUGGGACAACAGGAGUAUCUAUUGCCAACCUGAGUAAAGAAACCAAACAGAUAAAGAUUGUAAGUAAGCUCUUUGAUGAUGCCAAGCAUUCAGUAGAUGUCAAAUGCAUGUGCCUGUCUCCCCUGGCUCCCACACAGAGCCAAGGCUGGAAAACACCAGUUGAACACAGAAGAGUUAGGACAAUGUUAAUGGGUGACAUUUAAGGUUCCUCACAGCCCUUUUCCCAAUCUCAUCCACCACCUGCCCACCUGUUCACAACCCCAUCCAGACAGACUGUUCCAGUGUCCAGCCUCUGCCUUUACCUGGCCUGCGUGGCCUUCCAUCCUCUAUCUAACAAACUCCUACUCGUCCACCCAGACCCCAGGGAUCAGUUUCUCAUACUGUCAACUGGUCCAUCCAUGUCUGUCUUCUCAGGAACAUGUCCCCUCCCCCAGUGUCUGUGCUGUUUUGCUCUGUCUUCCGGGCUCUGGCAACUGUGAAGAGAGUGUGCUCAGAGGAGAUGGCAGGACCUAUGCUGCUCAAGAGGACUUCCUGGCAGAGGUGAAGCUUCUGCAAAGCCUCCAAGAAGAAGGGAGUUUGGGGUCCUCAGGAGAAAGGAGAGUAUGUGACGGGAGAAAAGGUGGCUGUGGGUUUGGGCAGGAUGCGAGCAAUGAGGAGUGUGGGCUACAUGGAGCAGUGGGAGAACUUUCUCCACUGAGCUGGGGGCCAUGGAGAGCCAGGACAGCCAAGGGCUGGACAGUGACCUGGAACAGUAUGGUCAGGUCGAAGAUGAGCAGGCAUUGCCCCCUAGAUAAAGAGCUCUAGGAGAGUCCGCACAGAUAUCCAUAGCAGCGCCAUUUGUAGUAGCCGGAUGCAGCCUGACCGCCCAUCAGCUGUGAAUAGUGAUGACCAGACACUGGAAAACUUUCCACUCCACUGUCUCCAGAGCAGGUGAGCACAAGCCGCACAAACCCGUGAGGAUUAAAUCCCAAAACCACACUGUUGAUUCAGCUUGUGGAAAUUCAGUGUUGUACACUUGUGUUUAGAGUACCCUUUGUCUCAAUUUUCUACUUCAGUUUUUUAAAAUAAAAAUUAGAUAUGAAAAGAGUAAGUUGAAGACAGAAAGCCCAGUUUGAUGCCAGAUGUAUAAAGUCUGCACACAUGCAACACAAUACGAUUUCUUACACAGGGACCCAUACAUGUGCAAUACGGGUGUAAGAGCACUCACAGGCGCGAUAAAUAGCAAAUCCAGGACAGUUUGCCCCUGAGGGAAGAGGGGAGGGAGGGAACGUAAUAGGGGUUUCAAACGUGCUUGAAAUGGCUUAUUUCUUAAGCUGGGUGGUGGAUACAUGGGUGUUUGUUAUGCAGUUCUCUCAUCUUUUUUGUGAAAUAUUUAUAUUGUGAUGAUACUGUUUUUCUUUAAGUCAGUGCCUGGAAAGGCAAUGGGGAGCCAUUGCUGGUUCUUGAACAGUGGGGCCUCAGGGUCAGUGGAUUGGAAGAGGCAGGAUUAGAAAAGGAUGGUUGUGGAAGGCUGGUGUGACAGUCCAGGGGAGAGGUGCGGAGGACUAAGUGGGAGUAAGAACAGGGUCAUGGGAGGUGGAUAAGGAUGGGAGAGAAAUAAGCAUUGGCCUUAUUUAGGCAAGGGUCACAAACCUAAAUGCUUGGACAGGAUAGGAGCAUGAAGUAGUGGGGACUGUGACACUCUGCACCAGCUAAUUAUUGCCAUGUAAGAAAGAAGGCCCAGCUGGGCAUGGCAAUGCAUGCCUCCUUUAAUCCCAGCAGCUUGGGAGGCUGAGGCAGGAGCAAGACAAGUUGGAGGCCAGGCUCAGCAACUUAGUGAGACCUUGUUUCAAAAAAUAAAAAGAAGCUGGGGAUGUGACUCAGUGGUAAAGUGCUCCUGGGUUCAAUACUUAGUACCAAAAAAGGAAAAAGAAAAAAGGCCCAGGGAGGCCACAUCUCAAUUUUUCAAGAGAAACCAGUAACUCCUACUUUUCAAAUGCAAAUGGAAAAUUAUGGCAGAUAGUUGAAAAACACUUCCUAGGACCAUCCUGAACCGGUUUGCAGUCUCUUCAGUGAGGCUGAGCUUUCCUGCCUGUGAGGCUGGGGAGGCUCACAGCCCGGGCAGCAGUCAGGGAGGGCUUCCUGGAGGAACUGGCGCGGGGUGGUGCAGGGGGAAGGUGCUUCAAGCUGAGAGAACAGCACUUGCAAAAAAGCAGGAUUGAGCCAAGUAGCCCUAAAGAAAGAAGGAACAGAGAACAGGCAGAGGUGGUUCACAGGGAGGAAACCUGCCAGUCACAGCGUGAGCAGCACCUGACCUCAUCAGCCAUCAGGGAAAUGUCACCCAACGCCACAGUGAGACGCCGGCACCCCAAGCCACGGUGAAAAUGACGAAAUCCAAGUCAGCGUUUUUAGGCAGCUUUUUCAUUGCUGUAACCAAAAACCCUAACGAGAACAACACAGAGGAGGGAAGCUUAUUUGGGGCUCCCGUUUCAGAGGCUCAGUCCAUAGAUGGCUGCUGUUGCUCUGGGCCCCAGCCAAGGCAGCACACCGUGGCAGGGGGCAUGUGGAGCAAAGCUGCGCAGGGCAGGCAGCCAGGAAGCAGAGAGCAUGGGCAGGGGAGAGUGCGGGCAGGGACAAAAUACAACCCCCAGGGGCACACCUCCAGUGACUGGCUUCUUGCAGCCACACUCUGCCUGCCUGUAGUCACCGCACACUUGAUCCCGGUGAGUGGCGCAGUCCACUGAUUAGGUCAAGGUCCUCGUAACCUGACCAUUUCAUCGUUUCACCUCGGAACAUUCUUCUUCUUCUUUUACUUUCUUCUAGUUUUUUUCUUUAUUGGCAAUGCUGGGACUCAAACCCACAGCCUUGUGCAUGCUAGGCAAGCACUCUACCACUGAGCUAUGUCCACAGUCCCCUCACCUCUGGACAUUCUUACAUUGUCUCACACAUGAGCUCUUGAGGGACACCUCAUACCUAAACCAUAAUAGUCAGACAGUACCCAAAGCCGGUGAAGUGUAGCCCCAUGGCAGCCUUAACAUACUGCUGAUAGAGGGUGCGCUGGCACACCCACUAGACCCCACAAUUCCUGUUUUUCAAACUUUAAUGUGCAGGUGAUCCCACAGGGGCCUUGUGAAAAUGCAGAUUGCUAUUACAUGGGUCCAGAGCAGGACCUGAGAUUCUGCAUUUCUAACAAGUUCCCAGGGAUUGCAGGGCUGAUGAUCCUUGGACCACAUUUUACACAGCAUUAGGAAAAAUGCACAGGAAUAGCCCUAGCAGCACUUUUUGUAAUAGGAGAAGACCUGAAAACAACCCCAUGAUCAAUUGACAGGAAAAUAAAUAAGUAAAUAGUGGUAUAGUCGCACACGGCUCUUAAACAACUAAAUCAUAACUCUUCACAACAUAGACAUGCUGAUCAACAUAGCAUUGAGUUUUACAAAAGGAUCAUAUGUGGUAAGCGCCUUUUAAUAUGAAAUGAAUAAACAAAUUAAAACAAAUAACAUAUUAUUUAGGUGUUUGUACAUGUACUAAAACUAGAAAUAAGGAAACCAGAGAAGGAUAAACUUAAAAUUCAGUUUAAGAGAGUGCUGGGGAUGGGGACAGCACGGAGGAGAUAUCAGGUAUCAGUUCUGUCCUAGCUUGCGGGGUGGGCAGCACCUCCGGGCGCUUGUAUUUUUCACAAUCUUGCAUCACAUACGUUGGGCCAUGUGUGGACCAAGGCUGAGAGCAUAUCGUGAACCAAAGGCUCCGAUUAGCUCAAUUAUGUUUAUCCAAGAUCUGUACUUAACAGAGAGGCAGAGACUCAAAGAGAGAUGGAAAGGGCUGGGGCUGGGGCUCAGUGGCAGAACACUUGCCUAGUACGUGGGAGGCGCUGGGUUCAAACCUCAGCACCACUUUCAAAAAAGAGAAAAGGAGGGAGGGAGGAAGGAAGGAAGGAAGGAAGGAAGAUAUUGUGUCCAUCUACAACUAAAAACAUUUAAAGAGAGAGAAAGAGAGAGAGACACUAAGAUAGGGAGAGAGUGGACUGUGGGCAUGGACCGUGUGGGAAAAGGUGAUUAAACACUAGCAUGGCCUGGCGAUCAGGGGCAAUCAGGCCUCUGAGGGAAGUUAGGUGCAGAAGUUGUGGCACUAGGGGACAUUUGCUGACCCAACCCAGAGGCAGGUAGGGAGCCAGUGUGGUGGGAAAAGUCUGUGGUGCCAGGGGCCUCCAGGGGUCUCCUCCAGUCCUGCCACAAACCUGCCAGCUCAGACCACGCUGGUGCCAGAGCUGCAGGCUUCAUGAAGGACCCCAAAAGAGGACAGAAUAACUGAUCCAAACCAGAAAAUUGUCCUAGUGGAGAAAGUCCCCUUGGCAGCAGGUAACAUCCUGCCCUUGAAGACGACUAACUCUGGUAAUGACCAUUCUAGGUAAUGAUGAGACCUGGUUUGUACCAAAACAGAUACACCCAGGUCAGUCGAGACAAAUCUAGGGAGUGGCCAGCCCCAGCACUGUCCUCUGGAUCAGUCAUAUAUCUGGACAGGCUGGGCCAGCUCCCCCAGGACACAAAGAGGAAGGCGCUCACAGGCUGUCCUGGGCUCAAGGUCCCUGUAGGGAGCAUCCUGCUCCAGUCUGCUCCUUUCCAUCCAUCCUUCACACCAGUCCCAGAGACAGCUUUCUGGCACAGUUUGGACUGUCUUCCCCUGCGUGGAGCCCUGCAUUGCCUCCCCAGCACCUGGGGAUUUACUCUGAGCUCCUUGGUCUGGUGUUCAAAGCUCUUCACCAUUUGGCUUUUUCACUGUGUCCUAACUCAGUUCUGGUCUAAUCCCCUGACUCGGGUACAGGCUCUGCAGUGUCUCCCAAAGACAACGAGCUAUUUCACACUCAGCCUUUACUAGAAUGCCUCUUCCUCCAUUGCUCAGUUGCCUUUCAAAGUCAACUCCAUUGUCAUCUACUCUGAGGAAAUCUCUGACUUCUGUGUUCCACUCCCAUUCCCAAAGUACUUUACCAUGACAAAGAAUCACCACGUGUCAAGCACCAUAUAGCACUUGGCUUCUGGUGCCUGCCUUGGAUUCCAGCUGAGCUGGUAGACAGCUUUCCAAACACUGGCCCACUGCAGGUGCCCCCCACAUUGUUCUGCUUGUCUGCCUGACAGCUUUUCCUGAGGUUGCUGGAGGUGGCCCAGCCCAAGCUCAAGGCAGCUUGAAAAUGCAGGCAAGUGAACACCCCCAGAAGAACCUUCCAUCACUUCCUGGGAAUGGAAGUCAUGGGCAAAUGCUCAGCCUCCCAGCCUUCAGGGAGAUAGUUUUGGGGGUGUUCACCACUGUUCCUCAGAAGGUGCCCAGCUGGAUGGUGUCCAGCUGCCCACACUGGUCACCUGCUCACUAGUGAGCACUCACUUCCUGACUUUCUCUCCUCCCAUCUCAUUCUUUGCACCCUUUCUCUGCUGCUUCCUAGGAUCACUUCCCGAAUAAACUAUCUGUGCAUCUCGAAGUUGCUUUUGGGGGACCCAAAUUUAGACACACCUGUUUGCUUUCAUUGUUCCCACAAGACUGGAAGUAGCUCCUUGAAGUUCAGGGUCACCUCAAGUUCUUCUCCAGUUGUGGUGUUUGACAGUCUGGGUUGCUCCAUGACAGUGCCCCUUGUCUCUGUGGCACCUUACACCCACAGGCUCAGCCAAAACGGUAGACCAUCUCAAGUGGUUGUUAGUGAGGCCUGUCCUAGGCGGAGGGCGAGGCAGGGCUUGCCCCUCCCUUCCUUCUUCCCUGUGUUUUUCAAAUGUUCCAAGUGUUCAUAUCUAUUCCUCUGCUUUGUUUUGCUUUGUUUUCACAGUGUGGAAGGAGUGUGGGCUCUAGAGUGAACGGGCCUGGAAUCAGAUUUUGGCUCUGCACAACUGGCUAUGAUUGGGUGCACAUUACCCAACCUCACUGAGCCUCAGUUUCCACAUGUGGGAAAUGGACAUAAACACAAACCCCUGCUUGACAGAGUGGCUGUGACUUAUAAGAUGAAGCACUUUGUAAACCCUGAAGUGCGUUGCAAGGCUGAGUUAUCCUUAUCCCUGGGGCUGGCACUAGGCCUGGCAUGGAGGAGGUGCCUGAAAAAUGUUUGGAGAACAAACUGAUUGAAGCUAGGAAUGGAAAUCCCACAGUGUUCCUUAUCUCAUUCAUUCACUCACUCACUCAUUCAUUCAGGGCUCACUUGGGGCCAAGCCCGUGCUGAGUACUGGCAAAGCAGAGUUGUGUGAGGAACAUCUCUGGCCUAAGGGAGACUGUGAUCUUCAGAGUGGACCACGAGAACCCAGCCUCGUGGAGGGGCCCUGGAUGAACCUCCAGAAUAGAAAGAAGUGAAGCCUGGAAGCGCAAGAUGAGCCUGAUGAGCAAGGGGAGGACGGAGAGGAUAGCUCAUCACAAGGGCGUGAGCAGGGACCCGGAGGCCAGAAUGGGGCACCCACAGACCACAACUGCAAGCUCGUGGAGGUGAAGGUUUACAAAGAGCUGCCAGUUCACAAUUUCCCUGGAACUUUCUAAAGACCCUGUGAAGGUUGAAUAAAAGAAGUGUCAUUUUUCUCAGAGGGAAAACUUGAAGGUCAGAGAGUGGUGAUAACUGACCCACUCGUCCUCCAAGAAGGGGAGGAGCAGGUAUUCUGCCCUGAGCCCAAGAUUUUCUCCUGCACCCAAGGAGCCUCCAGCCAUGCAGAGGCUUGCAAGAUGUCCAGGAAAACUGCCAAGCAUGGGGGAGGCUGGGCCUGGAGCAACAGAAUGACCAGCGGCAUGGAGUGGACACGGUCAUUCAAUGAGAGGGCCUUGAGAGACAUAAGGCCAUCACUGGGUGGCACCUCAAGAAACAGUAAGCUUCACGAGUUGAGCCAAAGAGGCUAAAAGUACAUGAUCUGGGAAGUAGAAGGCAAGCCAGAGAGUGAUAUGAGACAGAAGCCAGGGAGGACUGAGCUUCCAGAAGGAGAAAGUGGCCAGCGGCAUUAUGAAAUGCAGACUGUUUCUGUUCCGUCAGCAUCUGGGCCCUUGGGGUAGGGGGCGGUCCAAGGAGACAAUGAAUAUACUUAAUUAUUAUAAAAUUAUGGACAGAGGCCAGGGAUAAUUGUUCUGGUCCUGGCUUUGCCACCUCUCCAGGUGGUCUUGGACAGAUCCUUUUCCCUUUCUACACCCACGUUUUCCCCUCAAUCCAAUAAAAAUUCUCCCAUUUUGGAAACAUCAUUUUAUUCAUUCAAUUAAUUUGAGAAAUAUUCAUUGAGAACCUACUAUAUGCCAGAUAUUGUUAUAAGAAUUUCAGAGACUUCACUAAACGAUAAAGAACUUACCUGCGUGGAACAUGCAUCAAGCCGAGGGGACUGAUCAGUAAGCAAAAAACAUAAGAAGUAAGCGAAUGACAUAGUUUAUUAGAUUGUUACAAAGUUCUUUUUUUUUUUUUAUAGAUCAGGGUAAGAGAAAUAGGGAGUGCUAGAGACAUUGCUGAUUAUUAAUUAUAAUAGAGUAGUCAGGUUGAAUUCACUGAGAAAGUGAUAUUUGAGGAAAAGAGUAAUGGGGAUGUCCUUGCCGAUGUCUGGGGUAAAAGUGUUCUAGAUGGAGGAAGCAGUCAAUGCAAAGCCUGUAAGAUGAGAAAUAAAUCUCCCUUCCUGUAAAAUGCUCGAUUUAAUAAAAAAAAAAAAACUAUGUGGAAAUGGACAAAUCUUAAAGAGAGAAGAGAUACCUUCUUAUGCCAGAAACAAAGCCAGAACACGAGACCAAAGAGAUAAGCCUACACUAACGCUGCAGGAUGUCACGCUUAGGUAACAAGAAGCCCAUGACCAUGUAGGGCGGAGAGCCAAAUGAGCCAGAGAUCACCCCACAUAAAUUAUGGACUCAGGAAAGGCUACACCACUGACAAGAGAGUGGAUUUUGUUGUUUCCGUUGUUUUUGUACUUCCAGCCCUGGAAAUGAACUCAAGGGUGCUUCACCACUGAGCUAAGUCCCCAGUUCUUUUUAUUUUGAGACAGAGUCACUUACGAAUUUUGUUAAGUUACUGAGGCCGGCCUGAACCUGUGAUCCUCAGUCUUCCCAUUUGCUAGAAUUACAGGCAUGUGCAAAGUGCAUGUGCCAGCUAAGGUAGAUUUUGUUUGUUUGUUUUAAAUCCUGCCCCAUGGAGGUAGACAUGUCUAUCUCAGCCUUGGUUUAAGUGGUAUUAAAGAAAAACAAGAAGUUUUUCUGAGAAGUUGUAGAUCUUGAGUGGCCCUCACAUGGAUUCAAGGCCUGAAUUUUAAGUAUUAGUAUUACUCAAAAAAUUUAAGCUGAGAAUUUCAAGUUAAAAUAAACCUGAAAAUUAAGAAAGCCAAAAGUUUGUUCUGUGGCAGGGUGAGGGGGUGGGAGAAAUAGAGACAGAGAGACAGAGGAGAGCAUGGGGACAAAGUCUAAACCUCGAUAGGCAUGGUGGCAUGCCUGUAAUCUCAGAAGUUUGGAAGGCUGAGAUAGGAGGAUCUCGAGUUCAAAACCAGCCUCAGCAAAAGUGAGGUGCUAAGCAACUCAGUGAGACCUUGCCUCUAAAUGAAAAUACAAAAUAGGCUGGAGAUAUGGCUCAGUGGUUGAGUGUCCUUAAGUUCAAACCCCAGUCUCCCCUCAAAAAAAAUUUAAACCUUAAGAAUGAGGAAUAAUCAUCACUACCGAUGCUAUGGAUAUUUAAAAGGUAGUAAGAAAAUAUUAUAAACAGCUUUAUUCCAAAAAUUGAAUAAGUUACUGGAAAAGAUUACAUUCCUUGAAAAAAAGUACUUAAAAAAAGAAAUGAAAAAUCAGAAUAGCCUUAUAAAUCUGUCAAAUUUAUUUCCUGACUCAGUUUAUAAAUUCAGCCUAAGCUUGUAAUUAAGCUGAGGAGGAUAUUACUAGGAAGAAAAAGUAUAAGCCAACAUUUUCAUGAAUGAAGAUGCAAAAAUACUAAAGAAAAUAUUAAUUUAACAAAUCUAAUUAUAAAUAAAAGUGUGAUGUAUCAUGACAAAAUGUAAUUUAUCCCAUGAAUGCAAAGCUAAUUUGCCAUUCAAAAAUCAAUAUAGUGCAACAGAAAGUUUUAAAAAUGAUAAUUUCAGAAGAUGUGGAAAAUUUUUUGGUAACAUUCAACACCCAUUCCUGAAAACAAAUUCUUAGCACCAAGGAAUUAAAGGAGACCUCCUUAAUCUUAUAAAGGGCAUCACAAAACCCUUCCAC